AGAAGAUAUCACCCUGUUCAACUAUUGAUAUGUUGAAAUGAGCCUCAGUGACUCUACACUGCCACCUGCUGCUCAACAGAGACAAAACACAACAUGUUACAAAACAGGAACCAGAAUCUGAUCUCAGCUCACAUUUCAAAAUAUUCAACUACAACAUAUGCUUACUCUGUUAUUUGUUAUGAAAAUGAUGGAAAAGCAAUUUCCAUAAAUGUCUGCAUUUUAAGUUUUGUAUACAGAUAAACACAUUUCAGGAUUGAUUUAAUCCUGCUUUUAGGGUUUAAAUGGAGAAUCAGUAAGAAAAAUAAGAUCACCACUGAAUCAUAGGAUUGUAUGGAUGAAGUUCUUCUGCUGACCUAGCUGCUUUGAUUCAGAGGUUGAAGUCUGGGUGAUCUGCAGGCAGCUUUAUGACCUUUGACCUCUGCAGGUAUGGCCUGAAGAAUACAUGAAAAUGUUUCUCUCUGACUGCUUGUUGAUGAGGGUCAGAUGGACUGAUGUAGACCCUGUUGCUCUACAGUAACAGAUAUCAUAGACAGUGAUUCCUCUGUAUGACUCAGCUCGAGGGUUUAGACACUUACCUGUUGUCUACAGUUUGAGAGGAAGCAGGCUGGAAACCAAAACUUAAAGGUAUCGCUCCUACGAGUGAAGAACAUGAACUGAGUCCAGAAUCCUUAGUUCAGCACCGUCUAUGAAAACAAACAUCAAGCGUUAGUUAUGUGUUUGUAGAGGUCUUUCUUUCAGGUAAAGUACAAACUGCACAUACAAAACCUUUCACAAUCAACAAAAAUGUUGAAAGUUAGAAGCAGCUUCUUGAUGAUAUCUGACAUGCAGACAUUUUCCAGCCUAUUUGUUCACAUUGAUUUGGAUAUAUUGUGUGCACUUUUAUUGUUUGCUUUAUUACAAAGGCCAUCAAAUGUCUCCUGAGGGAGAAUGAACUCUUAAUUCUAUUCAUUAUAAUGCCUCCUCAUAAAAACAUGAAAUAACAUCCUCUUAAAUAACAAAACUUGUUUUUAACUUAGGUCAAAUAAAAACAUACCGUAUUCAUUUUCAUGUUAUAUUUUUACCCAUGCAUAACGCCACCUGCUGUCUCAGAGUAAGUAGUGAAUGGUUCACAUCAUGGCAGCCCUCCCUUCUCCAUUUGUGUGUAGUUUGUCAUUCCCUGUCUGUCUGAUCCUCAUGUUUCUCUCCCCUGUCUGUUGUCCUGUGUGAGUGUGGUGGGCGUGGCUUUCUCUUCACAGGCAGCUCCAGGUGAAUCUCAUUUCAUGAUCAGGACUCACUCCAUAAAGACUUCUCUCUGCACUCUGCUAGACACCAGAUUGUUUCAUCAGCUCGUGUGGUAUCAUGGCCUUACUUGCAUUGUGCUCCUGUGCUCUCUUCACUGCUUGCCUGCCAUUUGCUCUCCUGUGCACCUUUUGGACGACAAACUGGGAUUCACAGAACACUGCCACAGUCACUCGUCUACUCACCUGCCACGUUGGAUCCUGGGACACUGCACUAGCCCUCCCAGGACUGCCCCUGGUCAGGGUGAGGCCCUAAGCAAAAUGUGUUAAGGAGGCCCCCCCACGGGCCAACACACAGUUAUUGGAGCACCUAAAUAACAAGUCCAUUACAAAAUGUCUUUUUAACUUAACAACCUUUAUUUGUAAGAACAAAUUGUAACUUUGACAAUGGUGGUAAUGUGCAGGAUGCUGCGUCUGUACAACUGCUGUGUGAUGUGUCUAUACUAGACCUGCUGGUUGCUGCCUCUGGGCCUGCUGAUGACUCAUCUGCAUCUCCUCCACACAUUUUAGCAUUGACCCUGUUAUGAGAAGAAAUCUGAAAUAAAACCAUCUUAAAGCAGA